GUUGGAAUUAACUUGAUUUUCGUCGAUGGGUUGGGAGGACGGAUUCAGGCAUAUAUUCCUCGACAAAUCAGGCACCAGUUCGAGGAUCAUAUUAUUGAAGGAGAAACCUAUGAUGUGAAUAAUUUUGUUGUUAGGAGAUAUUCGGACAUGCAAUUUGGAAGAUGCUUCGCAAGUGAUAUCUAUAUCCAGUUGAAUCAUAUGACUGAGGUUUUGUUGACCGGAGAUGUGGAUUAUAUCCCGCCUCAUGUCUUUCAAUUCACUGAUUUGUCAGCUUUAAUGGAAGCUGCAAGCGAAAACAAAUUUCUGAUCGAUGUUGUUGGAAUAUUGGAGCACCAUGACCCAAUCAGUACCUUCAGAAACAGAUAUAACCAGCAAAAAUCCUGUUUUCGUUUUACCAUCAAUGAUAUGCA